rnacentral:lncRNA from 1 species
AAAGACAGUAGAUUACAAAUUAAAAAUAUUACAAGUUAUUGUUGAUGAAGGUUGAUCUUUAAUUUCUUCCGAUCUUGAAGAUCUCUUCUCUUCUAAACACUUUGUAAGGUCGCUUCUUCUUUCUGUCUCCUUUCUUUCAUGAUAAAAAAAAAGUCCCCUUUCUCUAUGCCCUAAUUCAAACUAAAUAGCUUCCAAACAACUAAAAAC